rnacentral:tRNA from 1 species
GCCCCCGUAGCUCAGCCAGGAUAGAGCGUCCGGCUUCGGACCGGAAGGUCGGGGGUUCAAAUCCCCUCGGGGGCG